rnacentral:rRNA from 1 species
UGGUUCCUACGGGGCGCAGCAGUGGGGAAUAUUGCACAAUGGGGGAAACCCUGAUGCAGCGACGCCGCGUGAGCGAUGAAGUAUUUCGGUAUGUAAAGCUCUAUCAGCAGGGAAGAAGAUGACGGUACCUGACUAAGAAGCCCCGGCUAACUACGUGCCAGCAGCCGCGGUAAUACGUAGGGGGCAAGCGUUAUCCGGAUUUACUGGGUGUAAAGGGAGCGUAGACGGCG